CGCGGCGUCCCGUCGCCGCGUCGCGUUGCUGGCCCGUCGGAGCGACGCCGCUCGGGUCAGUCGGCGGCCGGACUGGGAAGAUGGACGCAGCUACUCUGACCUACGACACUCUCCGGUUUGCUGAGUUUGAAGAUUUUCCUGAGACCUCAGAGCCCGUUUGGAUACUGGGUAGAAAAUACAGCAUUUUCACAGAAAAGGACGAGAUCUUGUCUGAUGUGGCAUCUAGACUUUGGUUUACAUACAGGAAAAACUUUCCAGCCAUUGGAGGUUGUCGGGACAUUUCACUCUCCAGUAAAUGUGGCCCUUGGCGUUACUGAGUCCUAAGAGGGGGGACAGGCCCCACCUCGGACACAGGCUGGGGCUGCAUGCUGCGGUGUGGACAGAUGAUCUUUGCCCAAGCCCUGGUGUGCCGGCACCUAGGCCGAGAUUGGAGGUGGACACAAAGGAAGAGGCAGCCAGACAGCUACUUCAGCGUCCUCAACGCAUUCAUCGACAGGAAGGACAGUUACUACUCCAUUCACCAGAUAGCGCAAAUGGGAGUUGGCGAAGGCAAGUCCAUAGGCCAGUGGUACGGGCCGAACACUGUCGCCCAGGUCCUCAAGAAGGUUGUGCAGGACCAGCGUUCCCUGUGCAGGCGCCACUGCGUUUCCUGCAGAUUCCGACCGGCACUGCAACGGAUUCCCUGCCGGAGCUGAGGUCACCAACAGGCUGUCGCCAUGGAGACCCCUGGUACUUCUCAUUCCCCUGCGCCUGGGGCUCACAGACAUCAACGAGGCCUACGUGGAGACGCUGAAGCACUGCUUCAUGAUGCCCCAGUCCCUGGGCGUCAUCGGAGGGAAGCCCAACAGCGCCCACUACUUCAUCGGCUACGUUGGUGAGGAGCUCAUCUACCUGGACCCCCACACCACGCAGCCAGCCGUGGAGCCCACUGACGGCUGCUUCAUCCCGGACGAGAGCUUCCACUGCCAGCACCCGCCGUGCCGCAUGAGCAUCGCGGAGCUUGACCCGUCCAUUGCUGUGGGGUUUUUCUGUAAGACUGAAGAUGACUUCAGUGAUUGGUGCCAGCAAGUCAAAAAGCUGUCUCUGCUCGGAGGUGCCCUGCCCAUGUUUGAGCUGGUGGAGCAGCAGCCUUCACAUCUGGCCUGCCCCGACGUCCUGAACCUGUCCCUAGGUGAGAGCUGCCAAGUCCAGGUGGGGUCCCUCGGAGGUACGAUCUGUGCCCUUGCUUCCCCAGUCCUGGCCCCCUUGGUUUUGACCAUUAAGGUGUGUGUGAGCCUGAGCCAUGAGCACUUGGCAGUGGUUCGCCUGUGAGACCAGGUGUGGAGCGGAGCGUCCCCUCCUCCAAGCUUGCGCCCAGCAGCCCAGGACCCACCUCGUCUUCCCCCCGAGGCGCUGCCUGCCCGGGCACUGUGGAGCUGGGCGUGCUCCCAUGGAGUCCUCAGGGCUCUGGAGCAGACAGAACAUGCAGGCUCUGUGGUGACGCAGUUCUGGGUGGGGGACUGGUUCACUUGGGCACCACUGGCCACGGGUGGCGUAGACCCCUUGGACCAUGGCCAGCGUGCCACAGGAGCCAGCCUGGGCUCGUGCAGUGAAGUGAGUGGCCGUGAGCGUGUCCUCCUCAUCCCUGUCUCCCUGUGGGAAACUCUACAAACAAGGCAAUGGCAAUGGAACCACUCCUGAUGACCACGAGGGUCAGACGCGGGACAGAGGCCCCUCAGGCCUGAGAUUGUGCCGGCCGCCCCCUGCCCUCCUCACCCUGCCCUGCUCCUCUUCUCUGCUCCCUCCCCCCAUAUUCGCAGGUCUGCACAACCCCAGGACCUGUUCACACCCGCAUGGGGACAGCUGUCUGUGGGCUGCAGAGCAGGCACUGCUCAGUCUGCCCCACACCAAGGGCACUUGACUCACACCCAGGUGGCCCACUCAAGAUGCCUGAUGCGCUAUGUCCUGUUCCUUCUAGAUUCUUCUGAUGUAGAGCGACUGGAAAGAUUCUUCGACUCAGAAGAUGAAGACUUUGAAAUCCUGUCCCUUUGAAAAUCCUGGGGUCGGGGGUGGCACCUGUGAGAGCCUGGGGCUCCUGGUGCCGCUGCGUUCCAUCCAUCCCGCCCGCUCGCCUGCCGAGGGCUGCGCCCCGUGCUGCCUCCCCCCAGAGGGCCACCCGCUGUGCUCGUGGACUGAGGCUGCGCUGCCCGGGAGGCCUUACUGCUUGGUGUCAGACUGCCCAGCUCAGAGUGCCCGUCAGGGCCUGUGCAUCCGCACGUGGAGCCGUCUGUUAGGAGCUUCCAGAGCAUUCUCUCGACACUGCCAGCCCCGUGUUAGCGCCUGGGCCUCAGUCCCACUUGCUCCCAGGCGCCGGUUCUGUGGUUGGU
rnacentral:sRNA from 1 species